GGCUUGUUGAUUAUGAUUUCAAGUCUGGCCUGCUCAAUGAUUAAAUUAAAUGGCCGCGGUAUAUUGACUGUGCAAAGGUAGCAUAAUCACUAGUUUUUUAAUUGGGAACUUGAAUGAAAGGUUUGAUGAAAGAAUUUCUGUCUCUAAAAAAAUUUUUUAGAAUUUUAUUUUUAAGUAAAAAAGCUUAAAUUUAGAUAGAAGACGAGAAGACCCUAUAGAGUUUUAUAUUUAAAUUAAAGAAUAAAAUUUGAAGAUUGAAAAUAAUUCUAAGUAUUAAGUGUUUAGUUGGGGUGAUGAAAAAAUUUAUGUAACUUUUUUUAAUUUUCAAGAACAUUAGUGUAUGGGUUUUUGAUCCUUGUGUAAAGAUUAGAAGAGUAAACUACCUUAGGGAUAACAGCGUUAUUUUUUCUAGAGUUCUUAUCGAAAAAAAAGAUUGCGACCUCGAUGUUGGAUUAAAAUUAAUUAUUGGUGAAGAAGUUAAUAAAUUAGGUCUGUUCGACCUUUAAAAUUUUACAUGAUCUGAGUUUAAACCGGCGUGAG
rnacentral:rRNA from 1 species